AAAGUCCCCUUCGGGGGGCAAGUAGAGUGGCGCACGGGUGAGUAACACGUAGGUAAUCUACCUUUGGAUUGGGAAUAACCACCGGAAACGGUGGCUAAUACCGAAUAAUGCAGCGGCACCUAAUGGUGACAGUUGUUAAAGCGGGGGAUCGCAAGACCUCGCGUCUGAAGAGGAGCCUGCGGCAGAUUAGCUAGUUGGUAAGGUAACGGCUUACCAAGGCGAUGAUCUGUAGCCGGCCUGAGAGGGCGGUCGGCCACACUGACACUGACAUACGGGUCAGACUCCUACGGGAGGCAGCAGUCGGGAAUUUUGGGCAAUGGGCGAAAGCCUGACCCAGCAACGCCGCGUGAAGGAUGAAAUCCUUCGGGAUGUAAACUUCGCAAGAACGGGAAGAAUAAGUAAGGGUUAAUAUCUCUUACGAUGACGGUACUGUUUGUAAGCUCCGGCUAACUCCGUGCCAGCAGCCGCGGUAAUACGGGGGGAGCAAGCGUUGUUCGGAUUUACUGGGCGUAAAGGGCGCGUAGGCGGCCACCGCAAGUCGACUGUGAAAUCUCCGGGCUUAACCCGGAAAGGUCAGCCGAUACUGCGGGGCUAGAGUGCAGAAGGGGCAACUGGAAUUCUCGGUGUAGCGGUGAAAUGCGUAGAUAUCGAGAGGAACACCUGCGGCGAAGGCGGGUUGCUGGGCUGACACUGACGCUGAUGCGCGAAAGCUAGGGGAGCGAACGGGAUUAGAUACCCCGGUAGUCCUAGCCUUAAACGAUGAAUGCUUGGUGUCUGGGGUUUUAUAGUCCCCGGGUGCCGUCGCUAACGCUUUAAGCA
rnacentral:rRNA from 1 species